GGUGGGAUAUAGCUCAGUUGGUAGGGCUUGCCCAGCAUGCACAAGGCCCUGGGUUCAAUCCCCAGCACCA
rnacentral:tRNA from 1 species